GAUGAACGCUGGCGGCGUGCCUAAUACAUGCAAGUAGAACGCUGAAGCUUGGUGCUUGCACCGAGCGGAUGAGUUGCGAACGGGUGAGUAACGCGUAGGUAACCUGCCUCUUAGCGGGGGAUAACUAUUGGAAACGAUAGCUAAUACCGCAUAAAAGUCGAUAUCGCAUGAUGUUGAUUUGAAAGGUGCAAUUGCAUCACUAAGAGAUGGACCUGCGUUGUAUUAGCUAGUUGGUGAGGUAACGGCUCACCAAGGCGACGAUACAUAGCCGACCUGAGAGGGUGAUCGGCCACACUGGGACUGAGACACGGCCCAGACUCCUACGGGAGGCAGCAGUAGGGAAUCUUCGGCAAUGGGGGCAACCCUGACCGAGCAACGCCGCGUGAGUGAAGAAGGUUUUCGGAUCGUAAAGCUCUGUUGUAAGAGAAGAACGAGUGUGAGAGUGGAAAGUUCACACUGUGACGGUAACUUACCAGAAAGG
rnacentral:rRNA from 1 species